rnacentral:rRNA from 1 species
UACGUAGGGUGCGAGCGUUAUUCGGAAUUACUGGGCGUAAAGCGUGCGCAGGCGGUCUGUUAAGUCCGAUGUGAAAUCCCCGGGCUUAACCUGGGAACUGCAUUGGUGACUGGCAGGCUUUGAGUGUGGCAGAGGGAGGUAGAAUUCCACGUGUAGCAGUGAAAUGCGUAGAGAUGUGGAGGAAUACCGAUGGCGAAGGCAGCCUCCUGGGCCGGCACUGACGCUCAUGCACGAAAGCGUGGGGAGCAAACAGG